rnacentral:rRNA from 1 species
CAGCAGCCACGGGAAUACAGAGGGUGCGAGCGUUAAUCUGAUUUACUGGGCGUAAAGCGUGCGUAGGCGGCUUUUUAAGUCGGAUGUGAAAUCCCUGAGCUUAACUUAGGAAUUGCAUUCGAUACUGGGAAGCUAGAGUAUGGGAGAGGAUGGUAGAAUUCCAGGUGUAGCGGUGAAAUGCGUAGAGAUCUGGAGGAAUACCGAUGGCGAAGGCAGCCAUCUGGCCUAAUACUGACGCUGAGGUACGAAAGCAUGGGGAGCAAACAGGAUUAGAUACCCCUGUAGUCCCUGUCUCUUAUAC